UACAGAGGGUGCGAGCGUUGUCCGGAAUCACUGGGCGUAAAGGGCGCGUAGGCGGCUCGGCACGUCCGUUGUGAAAUCGCCCGGCUCAACUGGGCGGGGUCGGCGGAUACGGCCGAGCUGGAGCAAGCUAGGGGGUAAUGGAAUUCCCGGUGUAGUGGUGGAAUGCGUAGAUAUCGGGAGGAACACCAGUGGCGAAGGCGGUUACCUGGAGCUUUGCUGACGCUGAUGCGCGAAAGCGUGGGGAGCGAUCCGG
rnacentral:rRNA from 1 species